rnacentral:rRNA from 1 species
AUUGAACGCUGGCGGCAGGCCUAACACAUGCCAGUCGAGCGGAUGAAGGGAGCUUGCUCCUGGAUUCAGUGGCGGACGGGUGAGUAAUGCCUAGGAAUCUGCCUGGUAGUGGGGGAUAACGUCCGGAAACGGGCGCUAAUACCGCAUACGUCCUGAGGGAGAAAGUGGGGGAUCUUCGGACCUCACGCUAUCAGAUGAGCCUAGGUCGGAUUAGCUAGUUGGUGGGGUAAAGGCCUACCAAGGCGACGAUCCGUAACUGGUCUGAGAGGAUGAUCAGUCACACUGGAACUGAGACACGGUCCAGACUCCUACGGGAGGCAGCAGUGGGGAAUAUCGGACAAUGGGCGAAAGCCUGAUCCAGCCAUGCCGCGUGUGUGAAGAAGGUCUUCGGAUUGUAAAGCACUUUAAGUUGGGAGGAAGGGCAGUAAGUUAAUACCUUGCUGUUUUGACGUUACCAACAGAAUAAGCACCGGCUAACUUCGUG